ACUGGGUUCUCAAAGAGAGAAGUCCACUUGUUUGAUGGCUUACCACUGUGCACAGAGGGCCACUUCUACAAGCAAACGUGCAUGGAUGGGAGAGCGCAUGUGGACUGAGCCUUGAGGACAGCCUCAGGCAGCAGUACUCAGCCUCCUAAGGAUGGGCAGAGCAAGCCAACCUUCAGAAUAAGCAAGCAAACAGGAUGUUUGCCUGGUCAGGCACAGGACUUGUGAAGUAAAGGGUACCACUGAGGCUGCUAACAACACUUAACAAAGGAAAUAAUGAGCCAUUCUACCAGAUAUGUAAGGUGACAGGACCAUGCUUGUGCCAGGUGCUGCUUUCAGACUGCUUGUCAUUUUCUGCAUCAGUGGAGUAGUCCAGACCAUCAUGGGGCCCACCAGUGGCCAAGAGGAAAGAAGCUCAGCCAUGGCUGGGCGAAACAUACUUUGUGAGCUGGAUAAGGAUGUCGAGAGGUGAAGAUUACAAGAAUAAAAAAGAAUCUUUGCUUCAGCUCAUAUCUGAGAAUAAACAUUAAAG
rnacentral:lncRNA from 1 species